rnacentral:rRNA from 1 species
UGGGGAAUAUUGGACAAUGUGCGCAAGCCUGAUCCAGCCAUGCCGCGUGUGUGAAGAAGGCCUUUUGGUUGUAAAGCACUUUAAGCGAGGAGGAGGCUACUUGGAUUAAUACUCUAGGAUAGUGGACGUUACUCGCAGAAUAAGCACCGGCUAACUCUGUGCCAGCAGCCGCGGUAAUACAGAGGGUGCGAGCGUUAAUCGGAUUUACUGGGCGUAAAGCGUGCGUAGGCGGCUUUUUAAGUCGGAUGUGAAAUCCCUGAGCUUAACUUAGGAAUUGCAUUCGAUACUGGGAAGCUAGAGUAUGGGAGAGGAUGGUAGAAUUCCAGGUGUAGCGGUGAAAUGCGUAGAGAUCUGGAGGAAUACCGAUGGCGAAGGCAGCCAUCUGGCCUAAUACUGACGCUGAGGUACGAAAGCAUGGGGAGCAAACAGG